GACGAACGCUGGCGGCGUGCCUAAUACAUGCAAGUAGAACGCUGAAGGAGGAGCUUGCUCUUCUGGAUGAGUUGCGAACGGGUGAGUAACGCGUAGGUAAUCUGCCUGGUAGCGGGGGAUAACUAUUGGAAACGAUAGCUAAUACCGCAUAAGAGUAGAUGUUGCAUGACAUUUACUUAAAAGGUGCAAUUGCAUCACUACCAGAUGGACCUGCGUUGUAUUAGCUAGUUGGUGGGGUAACGGCUUACCAAGGCGACGAUACAUAGCCGACCUGAGAGGGUGAUCGGCCACACUGGGGCUGAGACACGGCCCAGACUCCUACGGGAGGCAGCAGUAGGGAAUCUUCGGCAAUGGACGGAAGUCUGACCGAGCAACGCCGCGUGAGUGAAGAAGGGUUUCGGAUCGUAAAGCUCUGUUGUAAGAGAAGAACGAGUGUGAGAGUGGAAAGUUCACACUGUGACGGUAUCUUACCAGAAAGGGACGGCUAACUACGUG
rnacentral:rRNA from 1 species